rnacentral:misc_RNA from 1 species
AUGUAAUGGAUGUGCUGGUCUUGACCUCUCAAUCCUCCUUUCAAUGAUGAUAUUCUUAUUGUCAUUCGCUGGGUGGGGGCCUGACGGCUCGAGGGGAAAGGAAAUAAAAGCUCGUUAGGGUGUGCACUCCAAAUCCAAAUCUUUUAUACCUUGUGCAUCAAUGCCUACUGAGUAAGAAAAGAAUGUCAAAAUGAUAUUUUUGAUUGUUCAUGUAGGAUUUUUUAUAACAAUAAUGUAAAAGAAUGUUAUGUUAGCUUAAAAAGCAAAAUGUAAUA